rnacentral:rRNA from 1 species
AUGAGCACCAGCGAGGCCGCCACUGUCAUCCCCGUUUACGACGUCGCCCCCGGCCAGGGCGCGCCCUCCAACUCCAAGGCCCCCGCGGCGGCGCCUCCGGCUGCCGCUCCAGCCGCGGCCACGACGACGACGCCGCGCAAGUUCCCCAUGCGGUUCUUCCGGCGUAGCGACCGCGGCAGCCGGUGCAUGGCGUUCCUCGACCUCCUGCUGAGGAUCGCGGCGUUCGGGCCCGCGCUCGCGGCGGCCAUCGCCACCGGCACGUCCGACGAGACGCUCUCCGUCUUCACCGAGUUCUUCCAGUUCCGCGCCCGUUUCGACGACUUCCCGGCCUUCCUGUUCCUCAUGGUGGCGAGUGCGAUCGCCGCGGGGUACCUGCUCUUAUCGCUCCCGUUCUCCGCCGUCGUCGUGCUGCGGCCUCAAACCACCGUCCUGAGGCUUCUCUUGCUCGUCUGCGACACGGUAACAACUGACAAGCCCUUUUCUUUCUUCCCGACUCGCUCCAACGGCGCCACGCACAUCAUGCACGUGACAGGGCGGUUAACCAUUGCGAUCAUGCAGAUCAUGCUCGGGCUGCUGACGGCGGGGGCAGCGGCGGCGGCGGCCAUCGUGGACCUGGCGCACAGCGGGAACGAGCGCGCCAACUGGGUGCCCAUCUGCAUGCAGUUCCACGGCUUCUGCCGGCGCACGAGCGGCGCAGUCGUGGCCUCCUUCCUCUCGGUCUUCAUCUUCGUGCUCCUCGUCGUCCUCGCCGCCUUCUCCAUCAGGAAGCGCUGA